GCCUCAGCUUGGCAUUCUACCCAGCAUUUCGCAUCCCUGCAUGUAGAAUCAUAUUGCAUUGCAUCAUUCCAAAUCGCGUAGCAUUUCCAUUUUCAUGGAGCAUUACGCCAUUGAAAAAUUCAAGCAUACGCAUGUAAGCAUAAAACAUUCUCGGUAUCCCAAGUGAUAAGAUAGAAGUUGUUUCCAUUACUCAGACUGAAGAUUGUUC
rnacentral:lncRNA from 1 species